UACAGAGGGUGCGAGCGUUAAUCGGAUUUACUGGGCGUAAAGGGCGCGUAGGCGGUUAUGUAAGUGAGAUGUGAAAUCCCUGGGCUUAACCUAGGAACUGCAUCUCAUACUGCGUAGCUAGAGUAUUGUAGAGGGUAGUGGAAUUUCCGGUGUAGCGGUGAAAUGCGUAGAGAUCGGAAGGAACACCAGUGGCGAGGGCGGCUCUCUGGGACGGUACUGACGCUGAGACGCGAAAGCGUGGGGAGCGAACAGG
rnacentral:rRNA from 1 species